GAGUUUGAUCCUGGUUCAGAUUGAACGCUGGCGGCAUGCCUUACACAUGCAAGUCGAACGGUAACAGGUCUUCGGAUGCUGACGAGUGGCGAACGGGUGAGUAAUACGUCGGAACGUGCCUAGUAGUGGGGGAUAACUACUCGAAAGAGUGGUUAAUACCGCAUGAGAUCUACGGAUGAAAGCAGGGGAUCGCAAGACCUUGUGCUACUAGAGCGGCCGAUGGCAGAUUAGGUAGUUGGUGGGAUAAAAGCUUACCAAGCCGACGAUCUGUAGCUGGUCUGAGAGGACGAUCAGCCACACUGGGACUGAGACACGGCCCAGACUCCUACGGGAGGCAGCAGUGGGGAAUUUUGGACAAUGGGCGCAAGCCUGAUCCAGCAAUGCCGCGUGCAGGAUGAAGGCCUUCGGGUUGUAAACUGCUUUUGUACGGAACGAAAAGCCCUGGGUUAAUACCCUGGGGUCAUGACGGUACCGUAAGAAUAAGCACCGGCUAACUACGUGCCAGCAGCCGCGGUAAUAC
rnacentral:rRNA from 1 species